rnacentral:lncRNA from 1 species
CGAACCUCUCAUAGGGAGCGCGGGCUAAUAAACAAGUUAUUGCCGAAGGUUUUCAUAGUUAUCGUCCUCGGACCCUGCCGAGAUUUCGGCGAACAAGGCUGGGAUUCCCAAAGAUCGCCUUGGUACCUGUGCUUGGCUGGUACAUUCGUGGCCGGGACCACUUUCCCAGCUGGACGUCGGAGUUUACUUAGAAGAGCCGAGUUGGGCCCUACUUUAUAAAGCCUUAGUACGGAUUACGGAGACUUGACGAACAGAGCAGGCAUAAUGAGGUUGGGAGGUCGGUCUUAAGCCGACCCAGCGAAGAAGCCCGGCUUUGGGGCAAAAUAAGACUCCAACAUUGGACGAGAUCCCGCUUGGCAAUAUGUAGAUAAAAUUUGACAAGGAGGGC